GGCGAACGCUGGCGGCGUGCCUAACACAUGCAAGUCGAACGGAACUGUUUUGAAAGAUUUCUUCGGAAUGAAUUUGAUUUAGUUUAGUGGCGGACGGGUGAGUAACGCGUGAGUAACCUGCCUUCAAGAGGGGGAUAACAUUCUGAAAAGAAUGCUAAUACCGCAUGACAUAUCGGAAUCACAUGGUUCUGAUAUCAAAGAUUUUAUCGCUUGAAGAUGGACUCGCGUCCGAUUAGUUAGUUGGUGAGGUAACGGCUCACCAAGACCGCGAUCGGUAGCCGGACUGAGAGGUUGAACGGCCACAUUGGGACUGAGACACGGCCCAGACUCCUACGGGAGGCAGCAGUGGGGGAUAUUGCGCAAUGGGGGCAACCCUGACGCAGCAACGCCGCGUGAAGGAUGAAGGUUUUCGGAUUGUAAACUUCUUUUAUUAAGGACGAAAAAUGACGGUACUUAAUGAAUAAGCUCCGGC
rnacentral:rRNA from 1 species